AUGCCUGUUCGAGCGUCAUUACACCCCUCAAAGAUACCUCUUUGGCGUUGGGCAAUGCCCAGAGGCAUGCCUCAAAAUCAGCGAUGGUGAUAUUCAACCACAGGCGCACACACGUCGUCUAGCUGGCGGGAUGUUGUCAGUCAAUUGAUGAAUUUCUAAAUGUUGACCUCGGAUCAGGUAGGAAUACCCGCUGAACUUAA
rnacentral:misc_RNA from 1 species